UUAAGUUUGAGGUUUUACAAAAUAAAUGCAUUUGUUGUUAACAACUCAAGGAUUCCGAAAACAUCCAAAAAAGAAAGUGAAUCUGAAUCAUAAAUUCUACCACUUUGUAACAAGCUAGUCUCUUCUUUUUCUUUUCUCUUUUUCCUUUUGUGCAGGCCCUGGGGGCUUGAACUCAGAGCCUUAUGCUCCCAUUUAGAUUUUCUGCUUAAGAUCCGGUCCAGUGGAGAGCAGUCUCAGAUGAGGAUGCUGCGGGAAUUUGCUGGAUGCCUCAGAAAGGCGUGUGGCUGCUCAUGACCUUACUGGAAGUGACCCGGGGAGAACAGGCCCCAGGAGCCGUGACCACCUGGCUCUUUGGCCUGGCAGCGAUUAGAAUUCCUGGCUCUUUGGCCUGGCAGCAAUUA